rnacentral:rRNA from 1 species
UCCGUAGGUGAACCUGCGGAAGGAUCAUUACAGAAUGAAAAGUGCUUAACUGCAUUUUUUCUUACACAUGUGUUUUUCUUUUUUUGAAAACUUUGCUUUGGUAGGCCUUCUAUAUGGGGCCUGCCAGAGAUUAAACUCAACCAAAUUUUAUUUAAUGUCAACCGAUUAUUUAAUAGUCAAAACUUUCAACAACGGAUCUCUUGGUUCUCGCAUCGAUGAAGAACGCAGCGAAAUGCGAUAAGUAAUAUGAAUUGCAGAUAUUCGUGAAUCAUCGAAUCUUUGAACGCACAUUGCGCCCUUUGGUAUUCCAAAGGGCAUGCCUGUUUGAGCGUCAUUUCUCCCUCAAACCCUCGGGUUUGGUGUUGAGCGAUACGCUGGGUUUGCUUGAAAGAAAGGCGGAGUAUAAACUAAUGGAUAGGUUUUUUUCCACUCAUUGGUACAAACUCCAAAACUUCUUCCAAAUUCGACCUCAAAUCAGGUAGGACUACCCGCUGAACUUAAGCAUAUCAAUAAGCGGAGGAAAAG